rnacentral:rRNA from 1 species
UACGUAGGGAGCAAGCGUUGUCCGGAUUCAUUGGGCGUAAAGCGCUUUAAGGCGGUUCGGUAAGUCGGGUGUGAAACCUCCAGGCUCAACCUGGAGACGCCACUCGAUACUGCUGUGACUAGAGUUCGGUAGGGGAUCACGGAAUUCCUGGUGUAGCGGUGGAAUGCGCAGAUAUCAGGAGGAACACCGGUGGCGAAGGCGGUUCUCUGGGCCUUACCUGACGCUGAGGAGCGAAAGCGUGGGGGAGCGAACAGG